rnacentral:lncRNA from 1 species
AUGGAAUCUACAGCUGAGGCAACUUCCUACAACUCUAUAGAAAUGUUUAUUAUAUUUGCUUCAUUUUUGAUUUUAUUGGCAUUCUUUUUAUAUGCCUUUUUCUCAGCAGGUGCUCGCCAAUAGCGUGAGCCGAAUGCGUGUUUUUUAGGGUAUAGGGCCAUUUAUCCGGAAGUAGGGACUGCAAACGGGUGACUAUAUGUUGACAUACAUGGAUAUGGUAACUUGGAGCUAUGUAUGCAUGGAUACAGUACAAACGUGUUGAGUAUAAAAACAAUGAGAACAAAUCUUGGCCAUCUAUUUUUUAAAUCAAAUGAUGGUAUCGAUUACGGAUAUGUUUGGCAAAAGUUGUAACACCCCGUGUUUACAAAAGUCAAAGUCAAAGUCAAGAUUGAAGUCAAGGGAAGAAAAUAUCGCUAAUUGCAAUCUGUCACUCCUUGCUCAAUUACUGUUUUGACUUCCUUGGCUGUAGUUAGUCUAUUUUAUGUUUUUACGAUUGGUUGUAUUAUGUGGAGUAAUUAG